UCUCCGUAGGUGAACCUGCGGAGGGAUCAUUACCGAGUGAGGGUUCCGGCCCGACCUCCAACCCUUUGUGAAUUCGACCCAGUUGCCUCGGGGGCGACCCUGCCGUCCGCGGCUGAGCGCCCCCGGGGUCAAUCAAACACUGCAUUCUCUGCGUCGGAGUUUAAAACAAAUUAAACAAAACUUUCAACAACGGAUCUCUUGGUUCUGGCAUCGAUGAAGAACGCAGC
rnacentral:misc_RNA from 1 species